rnacentral:rRNA from 1 species
AUUGAACGCUGGCGGCAGGCUUAACACAUGCAAGUCGAGCGGAGAGAGGUAGCUUGCUACUGAUCUUAGCGGCGGACGGGUGAGUAAUGCUUAGGAAUCUGCCUAUUAGUGGGGGACAACAUUUCGAAAGGAAUGCUAAUACCGCAUACGUCAUACGGGAGAAAUCAGGGGAGCUUCGGACCUUGCGCUAAUAGAUGAGCCUAAGUCGGAUUAGCUAGUUGGUGGGGUAACGGCCUACCACGGCGUCGAUCUGUAGCGGGUCUGUGAGGAUGAUCCGCCACACUGGGACUGAGACACGGCCCAGACUCCUAAGGGAGGCAGCAGUGAGGAAUAUUUGACAAUGGGCGGAAGCCUGAUCCAGCCAGGCCGCGUGUGUGAAGAAGGCCUUAUGGUUGUAAAGCACUUUAGGCGAGGAGGAGGCUACUUUAGUUAAUACCUAGAGAUAGUGGACGUUACUCGCAGAAUAAGCACCGGCUAACUCUGUGCCAGCCGCCGCCGUAA